AUUGAACGCUGGCGGCAGGCCUAACACAUGCAAGUCGAGCGGAGCGGCGGACGGGUGAGUAAUGCCUAGGAAUCUGCCUGGUAGUGGGGGAUAACGUCCGGAAACGGGCGCUAAUACCGCAUACUAUCAGAUGAGCCUAGGUCGGAUUAGCUAGUUGGGGGGGUAAAUGCCUACCAAGGCGACGAUCCGUAACUGGUCUGCGAGGAUGAUCAGUCACACUGGAACUGAGCACCGGGCCAGACUCCUACGGUAGGAAGCAGUGGGGAAGCUUGGACAAUGGGCGAAAGCCUGAUCCAGCCAGGACGCGUGUGUGAAGAAGGUCUUCGGAGUGUAAAGCACUUAAAGUUGGGAGGCGUUACCAACAGAAUAAGCACCGGCUAACUUCGAGCCAGCAGCCGCGGUAAUAC
rnacentral:rRNA from 1 species